rnacentral:ncRNA from 1 species
AAUCUUGCUUGACGCAUUGAUCCGCCAGUCUCUAUUCGGGCGUCAUGAGACGGUGGGGAGCGGAGUGACGCGACCGGCAAGCGACAAG